rnacentral:lncRNA from 1 species
UGCCUGAGCUGGCAUCCUCUUCCUCCUGUCGGCGGGAGGUGUGGAUCACCUACUGCGUGCGGGGAACAAACGCCGCCCCAGUACCGGUCCCUGCAGCGGAGUAGCCUUCACCUGCAAGGUGAACGCCUGCUCACCACGUAAUCCCCAAACGCAGAUAUCACGUUGUCUCUGCAACUUUCCCUGACAACCACCCAAUGCAAUUAAUUAUCCCACAAUAGUAUCUCCCGCAGGCUCUCUGUAGAACCAUAGAAUUCAUCCAUCAAAAUACAAUCAUUUGUUGAUCCGUCUCUCUCUGCCGCCCCCAAAUGUGAAUUCCUUGAGUCAGAGACUAUUCUACUCAGCAAAACAUUUGUGAGUGGAAUUAAAUUGAAAUAAACCGUUAUAGUCCACUCACAGAUGGAAAACACAUAGUAAAAUCCUAGAAUUCCAUUUCUCCCCUGAAAAUUUCCCAGACAGUCAGAGGGAGUUUCAUUCUUUCCUGUUUACUUUUCUCCCAAAUAGGCCUUCUGAGGCAGCAGAAUAGGGAAGGAAGUCAGAAGACUGACCAGCUCAUACCUAUGGAAUGCCUAUCAUACAUACACUUAAAAUUAUGGCAAGCUCACGCAGGCGCACUAAGAGAGAAAAAACAAGAAAACAGAUAUGACAAUUAUAGGAAAUCCCCUCCCUAGAGUUAAAGAAGUGUAGGAAGUGGGUAUAAAAGAACAAAGGCUAUAUUAAUCCAGGGCUGACACCACUUGAAGAUAAGCCCGUUCCUCUCUCUGGGUCAAGCCUGCAAUACCUAAAGCUCCAGACCUGGAACCCAAAGCUCCCAUCAGUCGCUACCCUGUGAACCUGUGGAGGAUCUGAAGUACCUGUUUAAAAGGCAUCCAAAAGAUAGAAUCUAUCAAGCUACAAAUGGCUAUGUUGCCUGAAGCCCCAGACAUCAUCCUACAAGAAAUAAGUCCAGACUUCUUAAUUUCCCCCUGGAUAGAGCAGGGUCUUGUUGAACUGGCUAGUGCUUCAACAACAAUGCUAAAUAAUAAAGGAUCUAACAAUAUUUCUGCUUUAAAUUGAUUUCAGAGGGAAUGUCUCUAACGUUGCAGUUAAGUAUCAUGUAAGCUUUAGGCCUGAGAUAGAUCUUUUAUCCAGUUAAAGGAAUAUUUGUCUGUUCUUAAGUUUUAUAAGGAAUUAGUUCUGCAUUUGAUUAAAUGUCUUUCAAGUAUUUCUUUGAAUUGUUGACAGCAGAUACAUAUUCUUUUUUUUUGUUUUGUUUUGAGACUGAGUCUUGCUCUGUCGCCCAGGCUGGAGCGCAGUG